UACGUAGGGAGCAAGCGUUAUCCGGAUUUACUGGGUGUAAAGGGCGCGCAAGUUGGAAGUGAAAUCUAUGGGCUUAACCCAUAAACUGCUUUCAAAACUGCUGGUCUUGAGUGAUGGAGAGGCAGGCGGAAUUCCGUGUGUAGCGGUGAAAUGCGUAGAUAUACGGAGGAACACCAGUGGCGAAGGCGGCCUGCUGGACAUUAACUGACGCUGAGGCGCGAAAGCGUGGGGAGCAAACAGG
rnacentral:rRNA from 1 species